GGAGAGACUCAACACAACUGAUCUGACUUCAUCAACAUGAACACACACUUGCUUCUGCUUUUACUCAUGACUUCAGGUGUGACGAAUGCAGAUCAGAUUGGACCAAAUAAGGGUGAAAAUGCCAUCAGUAAAGAGGGAGAGACUGCUACAAUGAGCUGCUCGUAUGAUACAAGCAGCAGAUAUGUUAGGCUUUACUGGUACAGACAAUAUACUAACAAAGAACUUCAAUAUUUAAUAUGGAAAGAUGCUCGAUCAUGGAGUGGUGUGGCGACUCCUGAUGAUCCUCGCAUUCGGUCUACAACAUCAGAAACCACCACUGAACUCAUUAUUACUGGUGUAACUCUGUCAGAUUCAGCUCUCUAUUAUUGUGCUCUGAGAGUUGGAGCCCAGUGAUACAAAGUAUAUGAGAAGCCGUACAAAAACUCUAUUUAAUAGUUCUCUUUGAAGUAGA